rfam:Myotis brandtii contig317520, whole genome shotgun sequence.
GGCCUCCCUCUGUGGGGUGAUUGAUUGGGAUACCCUGCAAUCGAUCGCCCCACAGAGGGAGGCC